UCUCUCUCUCUCUCUCCAUGGCUGCCGUUUUUAGAGCUGUGAUGUGGUCUAACGGUAAGAGAAUUGCGGUGUGGGAAUUGAGAGUUGAUCAUCAUUAACCAGGAUAUUCAAAAAACAAUGUGAAAAUCUUGGCGAUGAUCUUGUUCUUCUAGUUUUGGAACAAUUCUAUAUUGGAAAUCAAAAGCAUCAUGAGCCUGCUGCUUUCUUGCAUUUAAUUAAGUUACAUAUUUAAGAUAUAAUAAGUCCUGAAAUGGACUUGUUGAUUGACUUCUUUUCAUGAUGUUGAAUACAUUCUCUAGUUGUAUUUAUUGAGCGUCCAGUUCUUGAAAUGGUAUUUGAUUUAUUGGUGAUUGGUUAAUGAUUUUCAACUUCUGGUGAAAAUUCCUCCCUUCCCACCUACCCUCCAUUAUUAUGUUUCCGUCUUCUAUGGAAAUUAUAGUUGAACUUCUUCCUUUCAGACAAUUCCCUUGCUCUUGCUUUUUUGUCUACUUUAAGUCUUCCACAUCUCUUCUAAAUCAAAUCAUCAAUCCCUUAUUGU
rnacentral:misc_RNA from 1 species